GCUCUUCUAGUAUUGACAAUACAAAUGACUUCCAAUCAUUAGACCCUGAUAUUAUUUAACCCAGGGAAGAGCA